rnacentral:rRNA from 1 species
GACGGGGGGGGCAAGUGUUCUUCGGAAUUACUGGGCGUAAAGCGUGCGCAGGCGGUUAUGCAAGACAGAUGUGAAAUCCCCGGGCUUAACCUGGGAACCGCAUUUGUGACUGCAUAGCUGGAGUACGGCAGAGGGGGAUGGAAUUCCGCGUGUAGCAGUGAAAUGCGUAGAUAUCGAGAGGAACACCAGUGGCGAAGGCGAGUCCCUGGAAAACACCUGACACUGAGGCACGAAAGCUAGGGGAGCAAACAGG